AAUUCACUGAUUGUUCUUGAAGAAUAAUGGGUGUUGGGAAAACCCCCCUCUGUCUACUCAAUCUAUAUAAACCCAAUAUUUUUAAAAAUGAAUGUAAUGGAUGUAACACAUCUAAUACUAAGUUUCAACAACGGAUCUCUUGGCUCUCGCAUCGAUGAAGAACGCAGCGAAAUGCGAUAAGUAAUGUGAAUUGCAGAAUUCAGUGAAUCAUCGAAUCUUUGAACGCACCUUGCGCUCCUUGGUAUUCCUUGGAGCAUGCCUGUUUGAGUAUCAUGAAAUCUUCAAAGUAAAUCUUUUUGUUAACUCAAUUGGGUUUUGCUUUGGUUAUUGGAG
rnacentral:rRNA from 1 species